UUGGACCGAAGUUGCCCAUCCCUGCUGUAAAUUUAUCAAAUGUAUAAAAAUGUGAAAAAACAAGGUUCUAGUGAGGCAUCUACAAUUGAAGCAAAUGGACCAUUUCUGGAGGAUUUAUAAACAAAGACACUCGUACAAGUUCGGAACAACAAGAUGGUCUGGAAAACGGCGGAGAAGAUCCUCCUGACAACUCUUCCUCAGCUCAGAGUCCUCUACAAAAGUCUCC